CUACUUACCUGGCAGGGGAGAUACCAUGAUCACGAAGGUGGUUUUCUCAGGGUGAGACACAUCCAUUGCACUGCGGGUGUGCUGACCCCUGCAAUUUCCCCAAAUGCGGGAAACUCGACUGCAUAAUUUGUAGAAGGGUGGUGCGAAGCGUGUGUACAAUAGCACC
rfam:Chelonia mydas contig190324, whole genome shotgun sequence.